UCCUAGCAGGUUUCUCAUAAAGACGAGGUUGUAUUUUUUUCAUAGAUAGUAAUAGUCUAUCAUGACUUGGUAUCAAUUCCACGACGAUGCAAUAAAUAUUUCAAGUAUGUCCAUCGCAAAUCUAGUUCUCUCCGCUGUUCUUCUUCAUUCUUUCCCCUCCACACCUCAUUGCUCAAAUCCACCCAGAUCUUCCACCUCUGACUUACGUCGUCGUCUCUCCUCAAAGAUUCAACUUUCAAACUCGUAUACCACUCGUAAAACAUUCUUUUCCUAACUUUGAAGCCAUCUUUUCGUAUAUCUUCCAAAUCAGAAACUCCGGCUUCGUUAUUAAGAUCUCCUCUAUCUUUAACAAUGCUACAGCAGCGAGGGAUCCUUUGUAUUCCAUACAUCUUUAACUCCUUCAAAAUCCUAAGCCCGUAAGGUUCCACGUUGAACGGUGACCCUCACCCACUCACAGAAUUGCUCCGUUUCACUUUUCCUCAAAGAAGAGAAAAAAGAGGAAUUCCCACACAAAUUUCGCCAACAAAACAUAAAAAAGAAAAAAACACAUACCCAAACCUAAGAACUAGUUUUCUGUUUUGCUCACAAACCAUUGAAAAAAAAAAACCCCUAAAAACAAACCCUAGAAUAUGCUUUGUUCAUGGGAUAAUGAUGAUACAACCUUGGGACGGGUAUAAACCUUACAUGAUUUAGGUUCAUAUGCAGUUUUAUUAUUUAGGAUCCUGUGUGUUUACUAACAUAUGCAGUUUCAUGCCGCAAAAACGUAGAACAAAACCUAAAAACCCUCCAUCUCUCGCCGCCUCGAUCUCAAACUCUAUGAAGCCUCAAAAUCAAUCUUAUUGUAUCCAUGCUGUUGUGGUUGUUUUCAAGGAGAUUCAUUCAUCUAGAGCUACUGCUGGUGUUUAAAUUAGAGGGUUGGUAAAGAGAUAUGGGUUUGCUUCGUUUUGGAGCAAUUAAUCGAGCCAUAAAGAGAUAGCCAGGACCAUCAAUUGAAAGCCUGAACCAUUACCAGUUUGGUUUAAGGUAAUGGGUUCUGGUGUGUGUGCUCUGAGACUUGCAGGGACUGAAUUUGGGAUUGCAGCUGUUGGCGAUGGCUGAGCAGAUACAGGUAAGUAGAUGUUGAUGCUGUGUGUUAGUCUUGAAUGUCAUUUGUGCAUUAUGCUUAUUUUAGGUACCUAAAGGUCAUGAUUUGUGCAUCAGGGCAUUUCAUGUGUUUGCAAGAAGGCAACAAUAUAUGUUAGCAAUCACUACAUAACAGAAUCUCCUUUUAUAUCUCACUACCAAUUGCAUGUUAAUUGGUUUGUAUCUGCACUUUCAGUUCUUAGGAAGGUGAAGGAAAACUCCAGUAAAGCAUGAUUUGCUUGAGGAGUAAUGUGUGGAAGCAAAAUCCAACAAGUAAAAAAAAUGACACAUAUUCUUUCAUGGUUCUUCUUUUUGUCGUUAAAUAUUCGAUUUGCUUCUGUGAUUUCAGGUGAUACAUUAGGUUGCGAGUUGGAAUUCAAUUGGAGUUAGAUAUUGCUACAAUGGCCAACAAGGCUUCGCCUGCACCUUUCAUAAAAAGACCAAGAAGGUAUUCAUCCCUUCUGCCUAUUCUGCAAUUUCUUUUAAGCGAAAAACAUGCUUUAAAUUGACUUUUCUUAAAUUGUUGAUACUGAAAUAAAUCAAAGGUUUAGAAUAAUAUCCUCUUUAAAUUGUAAUGGUUUUUCCUAUUGGGUUUUACUAUAUCAUGUAUGAAGCCUCCUUAGAUUUAUUUUAUCUUGAUUUCUCAUUGUGUUAUUGAUUAACAGGAUCAAAGAAGUAAGGCACAUAUACGUAACAACAGGGUUUUGAUGAUGUCUUGAGAAAUCAAUAUAUUAGUUAGGGUUCAUAUAUUUAUAAAAAAUACAGGAAAGCCGAAACCCUAAAACCAAACCAUUGAUCUCUUAUUAUUUCAUCUCAAAAUCCUGCGUCUUUGAUCCAGAUCAUGUUUUGGUUGCCUGUUUUUGAUUGGUUUUUUGAUCUCAUAACCUGCUCUAAUCUCUCCGUUCUUCAUGUCCAUUAUUACGUCUUUGUAGGGUUUUUCUUUUUGAGUUUCAUUCUACAGGGAAGGUUGCAGUUGCAGUGAAGUUGGGUUUUGGGAAGAAAAUCCUGAAACAAAUAUGUAAUCCAGAUCAUAUAACCAUCACCAACGACAACCAUUCAUCGACUUCUCCACAAACGCGAUUUUUUCUUGAAAAUCCAUCGGUAAUUGGACUAUCAUUUUGGUAAAAAAAUACUCACUUUUUUAUCACAGAUUCCACUGGGUUUGGAGAGAUUAUCAAUUGGAAUGUAGUUAAUGUUUGUAUUGAAUAAGUUUUAACGAACGAAUUGGCUUAAUUGCCAAAUUUUGUUAAUUGACGUAACUCAACCUGUCUGCUCACAAACUUACUGGAUUGAUCUUAAAUGGUAUUCUGCUUUGGAUUUUGGUCAGUUACGCCUUUUUACUUUUUAGACGUAAUUUUUUUUAAAAAUGGUGCUUUCCUUUUGUGCCUAAGUUGAUAUUCAAUAGCAUUCUUGCAUAGGUGAAUAUUAAACUGAAGAGAAAGGAGCACUCUAGCGUAUGACAUUGCAGCUCUGAACUUCGCAGAACGCUCUUCUCUGGCUUUAUUUUUUUCUUACUCUUUCAUCUGGAAAUAUCAGCAAAUGCUGAAAACCCUUUUAUAGUGUUUUCCUGUGGCAACGAAAGAAGAUGAGGAGAUGAAAGAUAUGUUAAUAUAAGAGUAUUUAAAUUCUCUAUGAAGGGCGCAAAUUGUGGAGAGAGUAGUUAAGAGUCACAAAUAUGGAGCUACUGUUGUUUUGUCGAGAGCAGUAAUGGCUGCAUUGUACACACUGUGUUCAGUAUCUUACUGAUGCUCUCCUGCAAGCUUUGGUGGUGGAUGAGACUUUGAGCAAGGAAAUUGAGUUUCACUUGGGUGUUGGAAGGUAAAAUUCCAUGCUAUUGCAACUCUCAGAGCAAGGAUAUGGAAGAUUAAUUUGGGUGUUGCUUCCCCUGCUAUAGGUGUGAAAUUCAGCAGUAGCUUGGUUUAUGUUGCUUCUUUAGAUUUUUGUUUUGAUUUUCUCAUAUGCAGUUUUGGGUUUUCUUAAUUUAGACAUAUUCAAAGAAGAGGAAGAUAAUUCCGUGCUUCCACCUGUUUUGUGCUUUUUCUUUUAUUUUUGCACUAAAUGUUCAAUUUUCUUUCCGUUAAGUCUGAAGGUGAUGCAAUCAAGUAUGAUUUGGGGGUUUUAUGGAUUAACUUGCAGUGAGUCUCUUGCUUUUCUGGAAGGUCAAAACUCCAGUUCCCGUCUCUUGCUAAUGUUGUAAUGCAUUUCGAUUAUGUGGUGUUUUUUUUAGGGCUACUAAUAUGUAGUGAUGGUUGUAUUCUGUUUUAGGGCUACUAAUAUAAACUGAUAGAUGUUUUUUUAUGGGCAGACCUAACAACUUUUGAAUUCUAAUGAGCACUCUUGAAGUUUUGGGUAAUUGAAUUUUAUUUUUAUAGAUUGAUUAACAACUAACGACAAUAAAUAUUUGGAACAAAAGAGUUUUUUGGAAGCUUUGCGAUUUGUAAGAGCAUCCGAAUCCACAAAGAGGGGAAAUUUGUUAGUAAAGGAGGUGCUCAAAGGUAUUGCUAUUGAAUGCUUGCCAAGGAAUUCAGAGUUGUUGAAGUGUUCUAUAAUGCUACGUCUAUUACAGGUGGUCCAAAACCAAACUUAGUAGAUAUUUCUACGGGGGAGCACAUCCGUAAAGGAAAUAAACAUUUUUUGAAAAUUCGGCUCGAAAAGUUGAUUUUGGCACCCUUGAAGGACAAUU